GUUUUGAGCUCAAAGAGCGUUAUGAGCCCUGAAGGAGACUCCUUCAUGAAUUUGGUGUACCAAUGGUGCAUGUCCUCCUCCAGGAUAUCAUCCAGGCUGGACCAGUGGGUGCCCAUUAUUCCUCCAGAGGCAGCAGUAGCUCCGUCCGUGGGGACUUGGCUGGAAACCAGAGGGUGGCCAGCAUGGAUCAGUCAUGCGAUGUGUGGACUGGUAGCUGGAGAGGUUCCAGUUAUCCUCCUGGGCAACACCAAAGGUGCCCUAUGUAUGUACAUCGUACCUGUUUGUGUAUAAUAACAACUGAGAGAAAAAACUGAUUUCCCCUAGAGAGAUUAAUAAAGUAUGUCUUCUAUUA